rnacentral:rRNA from 1 species
GACGAACGCUGGCGGCGUGCUUAACACAUGCAAGUCGAACGGGCCCGCCCCUGUUUUUGGGGGUGGGUUGAGUGGCGAACGGGUGAGUAUCACGUGAGUAACCUGCCCCCUGCUCCUGGAUAACUGCUUGAAAGGGCGGCUAAUACGGGGUGUGCCGGCUGGUCCGCAUGGGCCUGGUCGGGAUAGUUUCAUCUUCGGGUGUUUCGGUGGGGGAUGGGCUCGCGGCCUAUCAGCUUGUUGGUGGGGUGAUGGCCCACCAAGGCGGUGACGGGUAGCCGGCCUGAGAGGGUGGGCGGCCACACUGGGACUGGGACACGGCCCAGACUCCUGCGGGAGGCAGCAGUGGGGGGUAUUGCACAAUGGGCGGAAGCCUGAUGCAGCGACGUCGCGUGAGGGAUGGAGGCCUUCGGGUUGUGAACCUCUUUCUCCGGUGGUGAAGGCCCUGUCCGGUGCGGCGGGGUUGACGGUAGCCGGGGAUGAAGCGCCGGCUAACUACGUG